rnacentral:tRNA from 1 species
AAUGAGAAGCAAUUUUGUGUUUAGUUUCGGCCUAAAAGUUUGGUGUGUACCCUCAUU